UGAAAAGUCUGUACAGCAUAGCAAUGAGGUCUACCAUUAAACUGCCCAGGUUUUAGCUGUACCAUACUCCAAAUGUUCCAAGACACAAUUUUUUAUUUCAAAAAACAUUAAACAAUCUCAAUUCGUUCGAUGAUAAUAAAAUAUAAAUUUAAUUUUUUUUUAAUAUUUUCAAAUAAUUUUCCCUCACGUUAAAUUGUGACUCGUUAUUAUGAG
rnacentral:lncRNA from 1 species